rnacentral:rRNA from 1 species
AGGAUGAACGCUGGCGGCGUGCCUAACACAUGCAAGUCGAACGUGAACUCUGUACUUGUAUAGGGUGAAAGUGGCGAACGGGUGAGUAACACGUUGGUGACCUGCCCCGAGGCGAGGGAUAACUCCUUGAAAGAGGAGCUAAUACCUCAGAUGUCUGGACUGUUAGAGGGUGCAGACUAAAGCUCAGGUGUCUCGGGAGGGGCCUGCGGGCUAUCAGCUAGUUGGUGGGGUAAGGGCCUACCAAGGCGAAGACGGCUAGGGGGCGUGAGAGCGCGAUCCCCCACAAGGGAACUGAGAGACGGUCCCUACUCCUACGGGAGGCAGCAGUGAGGAAUAUUGAGCAAUGGGCGCAAGCCUGACUCAGCAACGCCGCGUGGAUGAAGAAGGCCUUCGGGUUGUAAAAUCCUUUUCUGCGGGAAGAUAAUGACGGUACCGCAGGAAUAAGUUCCGGCUAACUACGUGCCAGCAGCCGCGGUAAAACGUAGGGGACAAGCGUUAUCCGGAUUUACUGGGCGUAAAGCGCCCGUAGGCGGCUUAACAAGUUGGAUGUGAAAGCUCCCGGCUUAACUGGGAGAGGUCAUUCAAAACUGUUAGGCUAGAGGAUGGAAGAGGAGAGCGGAAUUCCCGGUGUAGUGGUGGAAUGCGUAGAGAUCGGGAGGAACACCAGUGGCGAAAGCGGCUCUCUGGUUCACACCUGACGCUGAGGGGCGAAAGCGUGGGGAGCGAACGGGAUUAGAUACCCCGGUAGUCCACGCUGUAAACGAUGGAUACUAGGUGUAGGGGGUCAUUAACCCCCUCUGUGCCGCAGCUAACGCGUUAAGUAUCC